AAAUAAAUUUUAUAAUUAGUCUCUAAACCUAUGAAAUUUAAUUUUUUUACAUAAUAAGUUUAAACUUACAUAUUUGUCAAUUAGUUCAUUUUUCUAUUGAUCUAAUGUUAUAUUUAGCUAUUUUUAGAAUUUAUUUUGAUCACUCCGUGACUAAAUAGUGCUUGUGUAUAUCUUUUUUUUUUUUUUUUUUUUUUUAAUAAUCAAAGAGGUUCUGGGCCAAAGCCCAUACAUCCUCUCAGGCCCGAACCAAAGCAUGUUAUAUGGUUUCGUUCCAAGCGCUAUUCGAACCGGCGACCUCUAAACUUUUGCUAGAAAUCUUUACCAAUUGAGCUAUUACAUGAUAUCUUUGGUUACUUAAGACUCAAUCAAAAACUAUGAUAGUGUAUGUGUUGAAAUAUCUUGAAAGAAUGUUUUUAAAAUCCAAAUGGGUAACUUGGCAAUUACACAUGAUUACCAACUUCCGUAAUUAUCGCUCAUGAUUUUAUUGUGCUUAUUCAACAUCAUUAUAUAUAUUUGGUUUUGGUUGGUGUGGGGAAAUAAGAAAAAAAAACAAGUAUAGACAAGUAUAGAUUUUGUCCAAAAAAAAAAAAACAAGUAUAGACAAUUAUC
rnacentral:lncRNA from 1 species